rnacentral:lncRNA from 12 species
UUCUGGUCAAAGAGGUAUUUAGGGUUGAGCUAUGUGUACUUCAGGAUAGAGAAUAUUAAAAUUUUGUGUCAAAAAUAGAAAUUUUUUACUAGCAGUGGGUCAGUGGAACUCUUGACAUGUUAGCAAGGACCCCCAACUACAGACUUUUCAUUUUUUUGUCUUUUUUUGUUUUCUGGAAUAUGAGGCUAUCAUUGGCUCUGGGAUAACUAAACAUUAUUGGGGUUUGGUUUAUCCAAAACCACAUAUGGUAAACUAUGCUAAGUAGAGGUUUAAACUUGAAAAUGAUGUUGAAAUGCUACUUUGGUUGUAGAUAUGCAGGAGAAGACAGACAAAUUUGCCUCUCCACUGCCAAUGUCUUCCACAUCAAAAGGAUUGAGUCAGAGAUGUCACUGGGUGGUGAUGAAGCCUGGCUGUGACUGCAUGAGCUGCUGGGACAGAGGAUGGCCUGGAGAGCUGUGUAUAAGACCAGAGAUGCCUCCCACAACUUCUGAGAAGGGCAGAGUCCCAAACUCUUACCAAAAUUCCCUGAGUCUUGCUGCCUCAGAGUGGCUCUUUCUGUGGCUCUGGUGGAGCAGAAACUACAGAGAAAUCUCUUCAGAUUGGCUCACAAACAAUAUGGGCUUCUCCCAUAUUGUCAGGUGCCCACAAUGGUCCAAACAAUGACCUCCCCCGGUUAGUAAGAUUUAAAGAACCAAAAGCUAAAUAGAUGGGUAUAACUUUUGAGAAUCUGUUUUUCUCUGCCAUAUAUGAUAUUAAGAUAAAAUUACAAGUUGUUGGCUUACAUGUAGAAGAAUGAAACUGGACCAUUCUCUUACACCAUACACAAAGAUAAACUCAAAAUGGUUGAAUAAUCUAAAUGUGAGAGAAGAAUCCAUCAAAAUUCUAGAGGAGAACACAGGCAACAACCUUUUUGAACUUGGCCACAGCAACUUCUUGAAAGAUACAUCUGUGAAGGCAACAGAAACAAUAGCAGAAAUGAACUAUUGGGACUUCAUCAAAAUAAAUAGCUUCUGCCAGUGAAGGAAACA